UCCUUAUUUGCUUAACAAAUAUUUAUUGAGGCGCAAGUAGACACCACGGCUAACUACAGCCGGGGCAAAGCGUAAGGAGAGAUUAGCUGGGCGAUCUCAUUAACCCCAGGAGCUAAAUUGAGGAUGCGGGUCUCCAGGUAGUGUAGCAGUUUUGUGUUGCAGGCUCUCAACAUUAUUAAUAUCCUCAGAAUGCAGGCAGGUCAGGCCACAGUUAGCAAGCUCCAGCUCCCUGAGACCAGUGUUACAGAGUGUAUUCAUUUUCUUUUGCCAACCACUCACCUCUCUCUCUUGCUGACUCUGAAUCAGUGGGGAAAAAGAGAAAAAUUGCCUGGCUCAGUGAUGUUGGAGGGAGGUUUGAUCAAGGUGUUUAAUAGCUAGGGUUGGAAUUUAAUUUUGAAUUUUCCUGCUGUGGCUGUUAACCAUGAGGGUUUAUAUUACCAUUUCUCUCGUAUUCUUUUCAGCUAUAUUUU
rnacentral:lncRNA from 1 species